rnacentral:rRNA from 1 species
UACGUAGGGUGCAAGCGUUAAUCGGAAUUACUGGGCGUAAAGCGUGCGCAGGCGGUCUCUUAAGACAGGUGUGAAAUCCCCGGGCUUAACCUGGGAACUGCGCUUGUAACUGAGAGGCUUGAGUGUGCCAGAGGGGGUGGAAUUCCACGUGUAGCAGUGAAAUGCGUAGAGAUGUGGAGGAACACCGAUGGCGAAGGCAGCCCCCUGGGGUAACACUGACGGCGCUCGAUGCACGAAAGCUGGGGAGCAAACAGGG